GUGAGCACACGGAGCAAGGGGCUUUGCAUGCCGAUUUUGUGCCAGAUCCCACACAGUGCACAACUGGGCCCGGCCAGCUGAUCUGUGUUCUGCAAAGUUCUGCCUUGUGUUCUUGGAGGACAAGGAGUGAGCAGAGGUGGGAAACAAGCAUCUCAAAUGGAAGUCAAUGUGAUGAAUGAAUUGGUGUGUUGACUUCACUGGGACACAGGAAACAGCAGGAAUAAAGUGGUGUUAAGUAAUGAAUAUGUCUUCAGUUACUAAGACAAAGAGAACCAAGACACUGCCACUGCGGAAGGCACAAGGUCACGGCAACAGGAAGUAGUCACAAGACAUGGAAGAUUCUGAAGAUCUGUGCAAAUUGUACUCUAAUGAAGGCACUACAUCCCUCAGGCCCUCUGCUUCCAAGUGCACUCAGCCAACAAGGACACCGGAUGGUGGAAGGUAGGGGGAGACCUGCUGGUGUGGACGCUUUCUCCGAUUUCCAUGCCUUCUGCAGUUCUAGCUUCUACAAGAUGAUGGCUUUAAAGAAAUACCAUCAAGUAGAUGGUGGAGCUGAGACUCAAACCAGGCACCCAGGCAGCCUCAUUCCAGAACCAGUCUCUGCAUUUUACUACCAGUACAGUUUAUGGAAAUGACUGAGAUGUCACCUGGAUGAGAAUCCAUGAUUGCAACUUUGUGCUUUCACACCCAAGCAGGCUACCUCGGCAACUCAGGCUGGCCAGUAUUCAAUAACAUACCCUGGGGCUCAGACAUUGGACACAGCAGCUCAUGGACAACAACUGCCCCCUUCUCUAACGAAAAAUGAAAACUCCUUCCUGGGCACUGUUUAGAGUGAGUUUUCUUCACCCAAGUUCAAACUCCAAAUCGGACUACAAGACUUCAGCGAGGAGUGGACAGAGAGUGACAAUGCCAGGCUCCCCUGGCCUAUUGCAAAGAGAAAGGGUAUGUGAACCUUUUCUGAUUCUAUACAGUCUCUUUUCCUCCCCCUGAGGAUGUGAAUAACUUAGAAAAUGCUAAUGAAGCUUUAGCUGUGGAAGAACAAGAUGACUGCCCUGCCUCUGGUUGGUAGCAAUAGUUGGUGAGCAUACACAGCUCUGUUUAAUGAGCCUGCUAUGUUUCUUGAAGGGUGGGGGCUCUUUGAGUAUCAUGCAACCUCUUUUUCUCAGAUGUGAAAAAGAGAAUCAAUAAUAAUUGGAAAGGAAAAAAAAAUCCAAAUGAGUGUCUAUU